rnacentral:tRNA from 1 species
GAGGAUGUGGCUCAAGUGGUAGCAGUGCUUGCCUGGCAUGCAUGAGGCACUGGGUUCGAUUCUCAGCACCACA